rnacentral:rRNA from 1 species
UGGGGAAUCUUGCACAAUGGGGGCAACCCUGAUGCAGCGACGCCGCGUGAGCGAUGAAGCCCUUCGGGGCGUAAAGCUCUUUCGACCGGAACGAUAAUGACGGUACCGGGAGAAGAAGCUGCGGCUAACUACGUGCCAGCAGCCGCGGUAAUACGUAGGCAGCAAGCGUUGUUCGGAGUUACUGGGCGUAAAGAGUGCGUAGGCGGUUUUCUAAAUUCGGUGUGAAAUCUCCCGGCUUAACUGGGAGGGUGCGCCGAAGACUGGGAAGCUGGAGUGUGGGAAAGNCAGGCGGAAUUCCUGGUGUAGCGGUGAAAUGCGUAGAUAUCAGGAGGAACACCGGCGGUGUAGACGGCUUGCUAGACCAUAACUGACGCUGAGGCACGAAAGCGUGGGUAGCAAACA